rnacentral:rRNA from 1 species
GGNUCACGAAGUAGGUAGGCUAACCGCAAGGGGGCCGCUUACCACGGUGCGUUUCGUGACUGGGGUG